GACGAACGCUGGCGGCGUGCCUAAUACAUGCAAGUCGAACGCAGUGGGGACGGGUGAGUAACACGUGGGUAACCUCCCAUCAGAGGGGAUAACACUUGGAAACAGGUGCUAAACCGAUACUGAUGGAUGGAACAGCGGUGCAUUAGACAGUGGGUGGGGUAACGGCUCACCAAGGACACGAUGCAUAGCCGGCCUGAGAGGGUGAUCAGCCACACUGGGACUGAGACACGGCCCAGACUCCUACGGGAGGCAGCAGUGGGGAAUCUUCGGCAAUGGGCGAAAGUCUGACCCAGCAACGCCGCGUGAAUGAAGAAGGUUUUCGGAUCGUAAAACUCUGUUGUUAGAGAAGCGGUAUCUAACCAGAAAGCCACGGCUAACUACGUGCCAGCAGCCGCGGUAAUUC
rnacentral:rRNA from 1 species